rnacentral:lncRNA from 1 species
UUGUUGGAAAUGUUUUUUAUUUUCCAGAGCAAUAAUGGAAAGACCUACAUUUUUUUUUUUUUUGUCUUUCUGCCUUUUCUAGGGCCACUCCUGCAGCAUAUGGAGCGGCCCUAGAAAAGUCAAAAUGAAAAAAAAAAAAAAAACCUCUCAACAAAGCGGGUAUAGAGGGAAUGUACAUGUAUAUCAUAAAGACCAUAUACAACAAGCCCACAGCUAGUAUCAUACCUGGUUAAAAACUUUUCUCUAAGAUCAGGAACAAGACAAAGAUGUCCACUUUCACCACAUUAAUUCAAAAUAGAUUUGGGAGUCCUAGCUGUGGCAAUUAAGCAAGAAAAAAAUUUAUCCAAAUCAGAAAGAAAGAAGGAAAACUGACAUUAUUUGCAGAUGACACACUACCAUAUAAGGAAAACCCCAAAGAUGCCAUCAAAAAAUUGUUAGAACUAAUGUAUGAAUUCAGUAAAGUUAUAGGAUACAAAAUCAAUACACAAAAAUGUGUUCCAUUUUAUACACUAAUAAAGAGCUAUUGGAGGGAAAAAUGAAGAGAACAAACUCAUUUACAAUUGCAUCAAAAAGAAUAAAGUACCUAGGAAUAAAUUUGACAAAGAAGGUGGAAAGACCUGUAUAUUGAAAAUUAUAAGACAUUAAUGAAAGACAUAGAAGAAUACACAAAUAAAUGUAAAGAUAUUCCAUACUCAUGGGUUGGAAUAACUAAUAUUGUUAUGAUGUCCACUCUGUACAAAGCAAUCUACACAUUCCAUGCAAUUCUUAUCAAAAUUCCGAUGGUGUAUUUCACCUAAAUAGAACAAACAAUUCUAAAAUUUGUAUGCAACCACAAAAGACCUAAAGUAUCCAAAGUAAACUUAAGAAACAACAACAGCUAGAGGUAUCACAGUCCACAAUUUAAUACUAUACUACAAAACCACAUGAAUCAAAACAGUAUGGUAUUGGCAUAAAUAGACACACAGAUUUAUGGAAGAGAACAGAGGGCCCAAAAAUAAGCCCAAGCAUAUAUAGUCAAUUCAUUUACUAUGAAGGAGCAAAGAACAUACAAUGGGGAAAUCACAGUCUCUUUAAAAAAUGGUAUUGGGAAAAUUGGAUGGUUACAUGCAAAAGAAAAACUGAACCACUAUCUUACACCAUACACAGAAGUUAAUUCAAAGUGGAUUAAAGACUCGAAUGUAAUACCUGAAGCCAUAAACUCUUAGAAGAAAACAUAGGCAGUGAGCUCUUUGACAUAGGGCUUAGCAAUUAUUUUCUCAAUCUGACACCAAAAGCAGAAGCAACAAAAACAAAAACAAACAAAUGGGACUGUAUAAGACUAAAAAACUUCCUUGCAGCAAAGAAAAUUAUCAAUGAAAUGAAAAGGCACUCAUUAAAUGGGAGAAAAAUUUUGUAAAUCACAUAUUUGAUACAGGGCUAAUAUUUAAAAUUUAUAAAGAACUACACAACUCAAUAGCAACCCCCCUACCAACAAUCCAAUUAAGAAAUGGGCAAGAGAUCUGAUAGGCAUUUUUUUUUUCAGAGAAGAUAUACAAAUGGACAACAGGUAUAUGAAAAGAGGCUUAAUCAUCAAAAAUGCAAAUCAAAACUGCAAUGAGAUAUCACCUCGCACCUUUUAGAAUGGCUAUUAUCAAAAGAAAAAAAAUAACAGGUAGUGAGAAUACAGAGAAAGGAAACCCUUGUGUGCUAUUGGUGGGAAUGUAAAUUGGUGCAACCACCAUAGAAAGCAGUGUGGAGGGUCCUCAAAAAAUUAAAAAUAAAACUACCAUAUGACCCAUAGAUUCCACACCUGGGUCCUUAUCCAAAGGCAAUGAAAGCACUAAUCAAAAAGAUAAAUGCACUCCUUGGUUCAUUUCAGCUUUAUUUACAAAAGCCAAGAUAUGGUAACAACCUAAGUAUUCAUCAAUGGAUGAAUGGCUAAAGAUACAGUGUGUGUGUGUGUGUGUGUGUGUGUGUGUGUGUACACAUCUAUCCAUAUACACAUGCAUAUACAAUGGAAUAUUAGUCAGCCAUAAAAACUAACGAAACCUCGCCAUUUGUGAAAAUACAGAUGUUGAAGGCAAGUGAAAUAAUUCAGAGAAAGACAAACACCAUAUGGUCUCUUUUAUACGUGAAAAUUAAACAAAUAAAAAGAAUGGGUAGAUAAGAUGUGGUCAGUGAGGAAGAUGUCACAUAUGACUCCCAUUUUUCUGUCUUGAGAAGCUGGGUGAAGAGUGAUGCCAUUGAGAAGUGUGGAGACCCCAAGCAGAGAAGCUUCAGAGUUUGAGGGGAGAAAUUCAGAUGUGGGCAUGUUAAGUUAAGCUCUCCCUUAAACAUAAAAGUGGGUCAAGCAGGCAGUUGGAUAAAUGAGAUGGAAGCUCAGAAAAGAGGUUUGGGCUAGAGUUUUAAAAAAAUUAUGAAAGUCACCCUGACAGGUUUAUUAAGAGUCCGUGGCCAGGACUUUCAAACCCUGUCAGGGAAGGGAAUUGCGCUGGCUCAUCUUAGGUCCCACUGCCUUCUCUUUCAAGGUCCCAGUGGAGCUAAAAAUAGGAAUUAAUGUAUUUUUCAGAGGCUGCCUCAGUCACCAGCCUUCUGCGUCUCUGAGAGGACCCUGGCUCACACUGUCUCCUCCCUCGGUCCAUGUCUUGUGAGGAUACAUGCUCAAAUUUUACAAGUAAUGCCGAGUGAGCUUUAUUACCCAAAUGAAAAAUCCGUUUUAUGGAAGUUCAAUAUACGAUGAGGUAAGGCAGGCACAAAUAUUUCAAAGUUAGCAAAAGCUAAAACGCCACAGACUGUAAUAUCUAGGAAUGUUAAAAGGGUGUGCUUUCCCUUUGUCAAGUAUUAUUCCAGUCAUGCCAUUUCACAUACCCCAAGCUGUUAAUGACUUUGAUAAUGAGUCCUCCCUCUCAAUCUGGCAUUCUUGCAUCUCACAGCUUGGCAUAUCUAAUUUUUAUAGACCCUUACUUUCUCAAACUCGAACCCAUGGGUUUUUCUCUCACAACCCCAGCACUUUCCCUCCUACAAGGCUCAUAUUUGCAGUUUCUAUCUCUGAAGUUGGUAAAGAAUCUACUCUCAUGACUCUCUUUUCUUUGUACUCACGAUGUUGCAGUGAAAUCUUUGCAGUUUCUCUGCUGGACAUGGGAAAUCACAUCAAAUCUCGCUCCUCCCAAUACAUCUCGGUCCACAGACCCAUCUUGGGAAAAGACAGCCCACAUUGUGUCAGCCUUCUGGUAGACCAUUGGUCUGCCCCUAGACGUUGGGGAAAAGUCCUACAAGUGGCCUCUGAGGUCUUCCUUCCUAACACAUGGCUUUAUCUGCUUUGUCUCUCCUAAGCUCCAGCCAUCUUGGAUUCCUCCCAGAUCUUGGACCAAUCUCUAUUUUCUCCCACCCCAAGGCUUCCAAACAUCAUUUUCUUUGGCUGGAAAAUUUCUUCCAUUGACCUCCCAUUAUUCGUCCUUCAGGUUUCAAUUUCCUGUAGGUGUCUCUGGCCAAUCGCUUCCCCCCACCCCCUGGAACCUUACAGUUUUCCAUAGCGUUUAUGACACGUCCAUAAGCAUCUGCUUAAUUGCGUGGAAAAGGGAGGUACCCGUUCUUGCCGUGGAUGGGUCUCCAGCAGCUUGUAAAAUGCCUGGAAUAUAAUAGCCACUUAAAAGUAUAUUUGGUGUGUAAUUAUUCUCUGAAAUUGUCAACAUCUUCCUAAGGUUUCAUUACAAAUAUCUUCUUUCAGGGGGGCUUUGUAAAAAGAUGAUUAGGUGAGGGUAUGUUUGGGGGGGUGGAGAAUCAAGGGCCAGGGGAUGAUGUAUGGUUUACAGGAUCCAGAAAAAGAACACGAUAAAGCCCAGUGAAAGAUGUAUUUAGGAUGAGUUAACUUCAAAGAAAGAGGAGAAAAAUGCCAAAAAAAAAGGGGACACUGACCCAGAAGAAGGUGGGGGCGACAAGAGGAAUGCAAAGAACAAGCAAAAUCCUCGAUAGAGUUAAUUAAUUUGAGUGGUUCUUGCUUUCUCUAUGACAUUUGAACAAUAUUCCGAAGUCAGUCUAGAAAGAAAUCCCCUGUGUCAGGCCACAAAAUAGAGCUUCCGGGGGUUUAUGCGUCUGCCAUUUCUCCACUUCCCAGACUGGAAAAACACAGUCAGAGAAGCACAGGCUGCUCUUCGGUUCAUCAGGCGUAAAAUGCCUGACAGCUCUCUCGGGAACUUCAUAUCAACCCUCAGAGCACCACAGCCUGUCAGGUAUUAUCACUCCUAGAUGGGUCAGCACUGUGGGUAUCUGGCCCCGUGCUGGUCCAUGGGGUACUUUGCCUCUAGACCAUAUGAUGUCUUUCCCCAUCAUGUUGUGCCAAGAGUCUCAUGUUUUAACUUUGUGAUCUCAAAUCUUUCAUGAGAGGUCAUGUCUCCAUGCUGUGUUGGAAGAGAGAAAACCCUGUUAUCUGAAACUGUACACUGAAAAUAUCUAAAUGGUUGCCCAAAUCUAUCUUCGGCUAUAGAAUAUUGUCUUGGGUGUGAAAUGUGAAUGAAGCUUUAUUACACAUAUAUUAUCUAACUACCACUGUGUUAAGCAUGUUCAUAUUUAGAGGGAAAGUACUAAGCACUACUCUUGUCCAACGCUAAUGAUGUACCUUUUUGACUCUAUUUUUAGUUCAAUGUUGGAUAGUUAAAACAAUUUUGAUAAAGAACAAAGUUGGAGUACUCACCUUUCUGAUUUCGCAAUUGACUAUGAAGCAACAGGGAUCCAGAGAGGUCAGUACUGGCAUAAAGUCAGACAUGUAGGUCAAUGGAAAUUACAAACCUAUCCUGGAUGUGAGUGGCUUUUGGUGUGAGGAAAUGCAAAAUUGCAUUGCAGAGGGUCCAGAUAGAGAGUAGGGUGACCGAUUCUGUCAUCACUAUGCAAUCAUCUAUGUUCUGCCGUAGACAUUCAUCUUCCUUUCACCUAUAAAAUUUCCUCUUCCCCUUGCAUAUCCUCAAAGUGUUAUCUAAUUGCAGCAUGAAGGUCAAAAUUCAGUAUCAUGGGUUCUCCAUCAGGUCCUAAGUGGUUCCACUUUUUCCUUCUUUUUAACCACACCCAUGACAUAUGGAAGUCCCCAGGCCAGGGACUGAACCUGAGCCAUAGCUGUAACCUAUGCCACAGCUGCAGCAAUAGCAGAUUCUUACCCACUGUGCCACAGUUUGAACCCCUUUAGUGGCUCCUCUUGCUUUGGAGAUUUAAGGACCGAAAAAGACAAGAUACCUAUCUCACAUCCGCCAAACAUGCACAUGUGGAAAAUGAGCACGAGACCCUUAAUUAAACAGUCUCAUUUGAAAAGGUAGAAAGUGAGAGACACAGCAGUCAUUGAUCCAUAGCAUUCCAAAGCCUGUUGAGCAAAUAUUACCAGAUCCCCUGCUCUGGCAGUAGGGAGUAAUUCCACUGGAAAAUAUGGCCUUUGAGGAAAUUUCCCAUUUCUUUUUUGCCUGUUGGAAGUGGGAAGCCCAGAAGACUCUCUGAUUCAGGAUAGUUUCACUUUUAGUCUGGCAGCACUUUUGCUUAUGUAAUUCCCUUAAGAAUUUUUUAGGCUUUCUGUGAAUCUGAUUCUAUUUGAUUCUAAAAGUCAAGGUCAUACCUACAAUUCAAGUGAUAGGCCUCCCUAGAUUUAAUUACAACUAUUUAGGGCAUAUCAAUUUCUUGUAGGAUUUCUAGAAUCCCUUAAGAUUUCCAUAAAUUCUUUUUUUUUCAUUUUUUUCUGGCUAUUAGAAGGCUCACUGGGCAUCAACUUAAUUCUUCCAGAAGCAUCAUAAAGAUUGUAUAAACACUCACUUUCUUUUAUCUUCUCCUCAAAUUGUAUUUUACUUUUACAUUUUUUUGCUGGAUAGACAGGCUAAAGAUUAAAAAGAAAAAUAUUUUCCAACCUAACAAGGCCUUUCUCUUCCAUAUUUUUCCUAAAUUCUUUUUACAAAUUAUUCAGUUUUUUUUCUUUAUCUCAUCUAUUUCUAUAUUUUAUUAUACGCAGCUAGAAGCAACUUUUAUCAUGCAUAGCUAGAAACUUUCAGUAUUCUACCUGAAAGUCUUCUCAACCAAAUUCUACUUUUCAUUAGGUACUUUUUUUUUUUCUUCACUUUACAAGUAUAUAAAGUUUUUCCUGAUAUUUCAGUUUGGGUCUCCUCUUUUCCUGCCUCAUAAUACUUUUUAAAAUCUUUAUUUUUUUCAGUCUUUGCUAACAAUUUUCUUGCCAUUCUACCAGCUUUUUCCAACCACCUGGUUCUAAAGUCAAAAUUGUAUAGCUCAAGGUUUUCUUAUGAUAUCAUUUUUCUAGGCAUCAAAGUAAUUACUGACACCAUAAGCCACAAUAAUAUCCCAAGCUUGAAGACCUAAGAAACAAGCAUGUGUUUAAUUUGGAAGUCAGUUCUCUGGCAACCCAGUCAUAGGUCUGCGAUCAGUAGGCUGGUCAACUGGGGACUCUCCUCCUUCAGUGGGUUUUUCUUGGCUUGUUCACAUGGCAUUCUUGGAGCUCCAAGAAUGUGAGCAGAAACAUACGUGUCCUCUCAAGGCUUAGACUAGAAAUUGGUCCCCAGUCACUUCUGC